rnacentral:rRNA from 1 species
UACGGAAGGCAGCAGUGGGGAAUAUUGCACAAUGGGCGCAAGCCUGAUGCAGCCAUGCCGCGUGUAUGAAGAAGGCCUUCGGGUUGUAAAGUACUUUCAGUCGCGAGGAAGGUGUUAAGGUUAAUAACCUUAGCAAUUGACGUUAGCGACAGAAGAAGCACCGGCUAACUCCGUGCCAGCAGCCGCGGUAAUACGGAGGGUGCGAGCGUUAAUCGGAAUUACUGGGCGUAAAGGGCACGCAGGCGGUUAAUAAGUUGGAUGUGAAAUCCCCGGGCUUAACCUGGGAAUGGCAUUCAAGACUGGUUAGCUAGAGUCUUGUAGAGGGGGUAGAAUUCCAUGUGUAGCGGUGAAAUGCGUAGAGAUGUGGAGGAAUACCGGUGGCGAAGGCGGCCCCUGGGACAAAGACUGACGCUCAUGUGCGAAAGCGUGGGGAGCGAAACAGGGAUUUAGAUACC